GUCGCACCACGAGGCGCUGU
rnacentral:snRNA from 1 species